UUUUUUUUUUUUUUUUUAAAUGAAUUUCUAGGAUUUUUUUUGUGGUUUGGCAUUAUGUGAUGAGAACUCCCAAAUGGAUUCUUCUAACAAAGAAUUGGGUGAAUGGAUAGCACGAUAAUCUGUAGAACAUUAUGUUUUCACUUUAGUUUUCUUUUUCUAAUCGAACCAAAAUAAUAGUCCCCAUGGAUUUCCUCUUCCCAUCAAAAUCCAAACGAAAACUCACUUACGCUAGUAGAAGUAAGCUUUUUUAAGAUAA
rnacentral:misc_RNA from 1 species